rnacentral:lncRNA from 1 species
GGAAAAACUAUUUCUUCUCUCCCACAAGCUCUUCUACUUUUCAUAGCUAUGAUGUACCUCUAAGUUUCUCCAGUUCUUUCUUGAAAGUGUUGCCAUUUUCAGGGGUAGCUGACUGUUACUAUGUUUCUGGUCCAAUCUGAGGGAAAAAACAAGAAAAUGAUUGUUGAUGGAUGAUGAGUGAAGUUCUUGAAGGCACAGAGUUAGUGCCUCAGAACAUGAUGAAUGUACACUAGGUAGCCUCUGCUGGUUAGGCUGCA